AAUCAACGCUGGCGGCGUGCCUAACACAUGCAAGUCGAGCGCGAAAGCGGGGCAACUCGCAAGUAGAGCGGCGAACGGGUGAGUAACACGUGGGUGAUCUGCCUCCGAGGUGGGGAACAACAGCGGGAAACUGCUGCUAAUACCGCAUGACAUCUUCGGGUCACACUGAAGAUCAAAGGCCGGGGACCGCAAGGCCUGGCGCUUGGAGAGGAGCCCGCGUCCGAUUAGCUAGUUGGCGGGGUAAUGGCCCACCAAGGCUCCGAUCGGUAACCGGCCUGAGAGGGCGGACGGCCACACUGGGACUGAGACACGGCCCAGACUCCUACGGGAGGCAGCAGUGGGAAUUUUUCGCAAUGGGGGAAACCCUGACGAAGCAACGCCGCGUGGGGAUGAAGGUCUUCGGAUCGUAAACCCCUGUCGAUCGGGACGAAGCACCUGGCCUAACACGCCGGUGUGUUGACUGUACCGGUGGAGGAAGCCACGGCUAACUCUGUGCCAGCAGCCG
rnacentral:rRNA from 1 species